GGUGAACCUGCGGAAGGAUCAUUACUGAUUUGCUUAAUUGCACCACAUGUGUUUUUCUUUGAAACAAACUUGCUUUGGCGGUGGGCCCAGCCUGCCGCCAGAGGUCUAAACUUACAACCAAUUUUUUAUCAACUUGUCACACCAGAUUAUUACUAAUAGUCAAAACUUUCAACAACGGAUCUCUUGGUUCUCGCAUCGAUGAAGAACGCAGCGAAAUGCGAUACGUAAUAUGAAUUGCAGAUAUUCGUGAAUCAUCGAAUCUUUGAACGCACAUUGCGCCCUCUGGUAUUCCGGAGGGCAUGCCUGUUUGAGCGUCGUUUCUCCCUCAAACCGCUGGGUUUGGUGUUGAGCAAUACGACUUGGGUUUGCUUGAAAGACGGUAGUGGUAAGGCGGGAUCGCUUUGACAAUGGCUUAGGUCUAACCAAAAACAUUGCUUGCGGCGGCAACGUCUACCACGUAUAUCUUCAAACUUUGACCUCAAAUCAGGUAGGACUACCCGCUGAACUUAAGCAUAUCAAUAAGCGGAGGAA
rnacentral:rRNA from 1 species